UACAGGGGGUGCAAACGUUGCUCGGAAUCAUUGGGCGUAAAGCGCACGUAGGCGGUCUGUUAUGUCGGAUGUGAAAGCCCUUGGCUCAACUGAGGAAGUGCAUCCGAAACUGGCAGGCUAGAGUACUAAAGAGGAUCGCGGAAUUCCCGGUGUAGAGGUGAAAUUCGUAGAUAUCGGGAGGAACACCGGUGGCGAAGGCGGCGAUCUGGGUAGAUACUGACGCUGAGGUGCGAAAGCGUGGG
rnacentral:rRNA from 1 species